GACAUCUUGCUGAUGUUGAGCGCGGUGCGGACGGAAGCGGGUGGGAUGAUGGCGGCCGUGCAGCGGGGCUCCAGUAAAUGGCUCUUCACCCAAGAACAGCUCGAAAACACGCCGUCCCGCCGCUGCGGUGUCGAGCCCGACCGGGAGCUCUCAUACCGACAACAAGCCGCCAACCUCAUCCAGGACAUGGGACAGAGAUUAAACGUAUCCCAGCUCACGAUUAACACCGCAAUUGUCUACAUGCACAGAUUUUAUAUUCUUAAUUCCUUUACAAAAUUCCAUAGAAAUAUAAUCACACCCACCACACUGUUUUUGGCUGCUAAAGUGGAGGAGCAGCCCAGAAAACUGGAACACGUCAUUAAAGUAGCACAUGCUUGCUUGAACCCUCAGGAUCCUCCACUGGAUACCAAGAGCAACGCGUAUCUCCAGCAGGCCCAAGAGCUGGUGCUGUUGGAGACCAUAGUGUUGCAGACACUCGGGUUUGAGAUUACAAUAGAGCAUCCACACACAGAUGUGGUGAGAUGUUCCCAGCUAGUGCGAGCGAGCAAGGACUUGGCCCAGACCUCCUAUUUCAUGGCUACCAACAGGUUGAUACCCUGACCCCUAUUUGUUGCACUGCCAUGGCACCCUAUAACUUCCUGUUCUGCAGGGUUCUCCUUCCUGUGUCCAACUCCCUCUCGCGCCUGGGCGCAGACGUCCCUCCCCCUUAUGGUACGGGGGCGUCUUGCUUGUCCGGCGCAGUGCGGUGUAAUGUACGGAGGGCUUGCUGUUGGCGCAGAAGGUUGAAUGCACUGCCUGCAGUGUUGAGGUGCUAAUAGAGAUACAUUGAGAGUGCAUAGGUCAAUAACUCAAUUGGUAGCCUGAAUAUCAGCACAGGGUUCAAAGGGGUAAACUUAGAGAUCGUCACGAUCCAAUCCAUGUUCAACAGAUCCAAUCCAUGUUCAAUGGAAAUUAUUUAUUAAAAGUAUUUCAAAUAGACCCCUUAAUUUUUUUUCACAUUUUGUUAUGAUGCAGCCUUAUGCAAAAAUGCUUAAAUGAUUUUUUUCACGUCAAUCUACACUCCAUACACCUAUAAUGACAAAGCAAAAAACAGGUUUUUGAUAACUUUGCAAAUGUAUUAAAAAGAAAAACUGAAAUAUCACAUUGACAUUUUUUCAGACCCUUAACUCAGUACUUAGUUGAAGCACCUUUGGUAGCGAUUACAGCCUCAAGUCUUUUUGUGUAUGAUGUGGCAAGCUUUGCAUACCUGGAUUUGGGGAUUUUCUGCCAUUCUUCUCUGCAGAUCUCAAGUUGGAUGGUGACCGUCGGUGGACAGCCAUUUUCAGGUCUCUCCAGAGAUGUUCGAUUGUGUUCAAGUCUGGGCUCUGGCUGGGCCAUUCAAGGACAGGAGUUAUCCCUAAGCCACUCUUGCGUUGUUUUGGCUGUGUGCUUGGGGUCAUUGUCCUGUUGGAAGGUCCAGUCUGAGGUCCUGAGCGCUCUGGUACAGAUUUUCAUUAAGGAUAUCUCCAACCCUGACCAGUCCCCCAGUACCUGCCGCUGAAAAACACCCCCACAGCACAAUGCUACCACCACCAUGCUUCACAGUAGGGAUGGUAUUGCGCUGGUGAUGAGCGGUGCCUGGUUUCCUCCAGACAUGAUGCUUGGAAUUGAGGCCAAACAGUUCAAUCUUCAUUUCAUCAGUCUAGAGAAUCUUGUUUCUCACAGCUUAAGAGUCCUUUAGGUGCUUUUUUGCAAAUUCCUAUUGGGUUUUCAUGUGUCUUGCACUGAGGAGGGGCUUUCGUCUGGCCACUCUGCCAUAAAGCCCAGAUCGGUGGAAUGUUGCAAUGAUGGUUGUCCUGCUGUAAGUUUCUCCCAUCUCCACGCAUGAUCUCUGGAGCUCAACCAGAGUGACCAUCGAGUUCUUGGUCACCUCUCUUACCUAGGCCCUUCUCACCCGAUUGCUCAGUUUGGCCGGGCGGCCAGCUCUAGGAAGAGUCCUGAUUGUUCCAAAUUUCCACUUAAGAAUUAAUGAGGCCACUGUGCUCUUGAGAACCUUCAAUGCAGCUGAAUUUUUUUGUAGCCUUCCCUCAGAUCUAUACCUCGACACAAUCCUGUCUCUGGGCUCUGCAGGCAGUUCUUUUGACCUCAUGGCUUUGUUUUUGCUCUGAUAUGCAUUUUCAGCUGUGACACCUUAUAUAGACAGGUGUGUGCCUUUCCAAAUCAUGUCCAAUCAGUUGAAUUUGCCACAGGUGGACUCCAAUCAAAGUGUAGAAGAAUGAUCCAGAGAAAUGGGAUGCACCUGAGCUAAGUUUCAAGUGUCACAGCAAAGGGUCUGAAUACUUAUGCCAAUGUGAUAUUUCAGUUUUUUCUUUUUAAUACAUUUGCAAAGUUAUCAAAAAUCUUGUUUUUGCUUUGUCUUUAUGGGGUAUGGAGUGUAGAUUGAUGUGAAAAAAAUAAAGCAUUUUAGCAUAAGGCUGCAACAUAACAAAAUGUGGAAAAAAAAAAAAAAAAAUGAAGGGGUCUGAAUACUUUCUGAAAGUCCUGACUAAAAUAAUAAGUCCUGAGCAAAAAAGUGAUCUGAAGACAAAUUAAGGUAAGUGGCAAAAAUCGGUACUGGCGUAUAGGUUUUUUGUUAAAAUUGGUAUCGGCCAAAAAUUGCCAUAUCGGUGCAUCCCUUUUUUUUUUCUUUUUUAUAGUUGAUUUACCUUAAUUUGAGAACUACUCCAUUUGGUGGACGCUAAUCAGUAAUUUAAAUUGUUUAUCUUGAAAAUGAUCUUUUUCCGUUGAUUUACCUUAAUUUGUGAAUUGAGAACUUUUCUGUUACAUGGACAGUAAUCCGUGGUUAGCUAUAUUUUACAUUAAGUGGUUGAUUUAUAUUUAUUCUUAAUUGGGAACUAUUCUGUUAGGUGUUUUCAGCACCAUUUACAUUGAUUUAGUUCUAUAUUUUAAUUAUUUUCAAAGCUUUUUGUGCAUAGCAAUUUAUAUGACACUAAAUUUAGAGACGAUCCCCCACUGCACUCUGAGGUUUUUCCUUUCUUGAGCACAGUAGUAUUCUGUACUCUAGUGAUCCCAUGUUGGGAUCAAACCUGUAGCCUUUUAGUUUGCUGCCUGAAUGGUUAACCAUUAUGCUCCCACCUCCCCAUGUUGAACAAACAUGGGUCUUAUUUAAUUGUCAAACUAUAAUGUUUGGCGUGUUGGUCUGUGUAUGAGUUAAUGUGUUUAGGCACACAGAUAGAUUAUUUCCUUUGAUUUGUGUUUGACUCCACACUUCAAAUCUUGUUGGACCAUUACAUACCAUUUUGUUUUACAGCAUAACUGUCUAGCAAACGCACUCGACUGGAUUGCGAGCCAUGAAAUAAUGAAAUUAUUAUGAAAUGUGACAUUACAGAUGAUUACAAAAGAGGAAUGGAAAUUUUCAGCUAUUAAAAGGCUGUUUUAGUCAAGAGGGCACAUUUUGUGCUCACUUCAUUUGUAAAAGAGUGUUUUUUGUGUCUUUUUGUGUUCUCUUUUGCAGUUUACACCUGACCACCUUCUGCCUGCAGCACAAACCUACAGUGGUGGCGUGUGUUUGUAUUCACCUGGCCUGCAAGUGGUCCAACUGGGAGAUCCCCGUCUCUUCAGAUGGUAAACACUGGUGGGAAUAUGUGGACCGGACUG